CCCAGUAAACGGCGGCCGUAACUAUAACGGUCCUAAGGUAGCGAAAUUCCUUGUCAGGUAAGUUCUGACCCGCACGAAAGGCGUAACGAUUUGGGCGCUGUCUCAGCUGUAGACUCGGUGAAGUCUUAGUACCUGUGAAGAUGCAGGUUACCCGCGACUAGACGGAAAGACCCCAUGGAGCUUUACUGUAGCUUGAUAUUGGACUUUGAUGCAAGAUGUACAGGAUAGGUAGGAGACUGAGAGACAUGCACGCCAGUGUGUGAGGAGUCAAUGUUGGGAUACUACUCUUCUUGUAUUGGAGUUCUAACCGGAUGCCAUGGAACUGGCAACGGGACAGUGUCAGGUGGGCAGUUUGACUGGGGCGGUCGCCUCCCAAAGAGUAACGGAGGCGCCCAAAGAUACCCUCAGCUUGGAUGGAAAUCAAGCGCAGAGUGCAAAGGCAUAAGGGUGUUUGACUGCGAGACCUACAAGUCGAGCAGGGACGAAAGUCGGGCUUAGUGAUCCGGCGGUGCUGAAUGGAAAGGCCGUCGCUCAACGGAUAAAAGCUACCCUGGGGAUAACAGGCUGAUCUCCCCCAAGAGUUCACAUCGACGGGGAGGUUUGGCACCUCGAUGUCGGCUCAUCGCAUCCUGGAGCUGAAGUCGGUUCCAAGGGUUGGGCUGUUCGCCCAUUAAAGCGGUACGCGAGCUGGGUUCAGAACGUCGUGAGACAGUUCGGUCCCUAUCUGUCGUGGGCGUAGGAAGUUUGAGAAGAUCUGUCCUCAGUACGAGAGGACCGGGAUGGACAUAUCAAUGGUGCACCAGUUGUCACGCCAGUGGCACAGCUGGGUAGCUAAAUAUGGAAGGGAUAAACGCUGAAGGCAUCUAAGUGUGAAACCCACUUCAAGAUGAGACUUCCCAUUACGCAAGUAAGUAAGACCCCUUAAAGACGAUAAGGUUGAUAGGUCAGGAGUGUAAGCAUGGCGACAUGUUCAGCGGACUGAUACUAAUAGGUCGAGGACUUAACCU
rnacentral:rRNA from 1 species